rnacentral:rRNA from 1 species
UACGUAGGUGGCAAGCGUUGUCCGGAUUUACUGGGUGUAAAGGGCGUGUAGCCGGGAAGGCAAGUCAGAUGUGAAAUCCGGAGGCUCAACCUCCGAAUUGCAUUUGAAACUGUUUUUCUUGAGUACUGGAGAGGCAGACGGAAUUCCUUGUGUAGCGGUGAAAUGCGUAGAUAUUAGGAGGAACACCAGUGGCGAAGGCGGCCUGCUGGACGAUGACUGACGUUGAGGCUCGAAAGCGUGGGGAGCAAACAGG